rnacentral:rRNA from 1 species
UACGUAGGGGGCUAGCGUUAUCUGGAAUUACUGGGCGUAAAGGGUGCGUAGGUGGUUUCUUAAGUCAGAGGUGAAAGGCUACGGCUCAACCGUAGUAAGCCUUUGAAACUGGGAAACUUGAGUGCAGGAGAGGAGAGUGGAAUUCCUAGUGUAGCGGUGAAAUGCGUAGAUAUUAGGAGGAACACCGGUGGCGAAGGCGGCUUACUGGACGAUUACUGACGUUGAGGCUCGAAAGCGUGGGGAGCAAACAGGAUUAGAUACCCUGGUAGUCCCUGAGCGGGCU